rnacentral:tRNA from 1 species
UAAUAUGGCAGAUUAGUGCAAUAGAUUUAAGCCCUAUAAAUAAAGUAAUAACUUUUAUUAGAA